rfam:Halobacillus halophilus DSM 2266 complete genome
GAACGCCGAAUGCUGGGAAACUAGCACGUUCGGUGUGGAGCAGGGGAAAAGCCAGAGAUAAUCUCAAACGCUUACCUAUUGCUAAC